rfam:Synechococcus phage S-RSM4 complete genome
GGGCGAUUAGCGCAGCGGUAGCGCAGUUGCUUUACACGCAAUUGGUCGGGGGUUCGAAUCCCUCAUCGCCCA